ensembl:snoRNA
GUUGAGGUCUAUCCCGAUGGAGCCUUUUCUGUAUACCUACAGCAUUGGAAACGCCUCAUAGAGUAACUAUGUGGUUUCCUUUACUCAUAGAACUACCUGUUAUAUCUGUGGAAAGAACUAACUAUAAGACAGUA